GAGUUUACAAGGAUCAACAGAUGAUAUUUUUCUACUUCAUGUACAUGAGGUUCUCUUUCUAAGAACAAUAAAAGUCCAUGUCUAGCAGGGAAGCUUCUACAAUUGUUUGUCUUGUAUUUGAACAAAAGCAUCAGCAGUUUGAUAUGAAUCUGCUCCUGAGCGAUUUAGAAUAUUCCAACACGGUGGAUUAAGUUAACAUAAAUACAAGUCUCCUUGUGCUACAAAGGUGCGGAGAGGGAGAGAGGGAGAGAGGGAGAGGGGGUUAGAGGUAGAGAGUUUUAUAUCAGUUUGAAGUUUGAAGAGAUUGACAGAUGCUCUCAACUGAGUUGUCUUCAGGUUGCAGUGAUGCAGCUGGACUUGCUGGGAACCUCUUUGCUUGUGUUAUGUGUGUCGCCAAUACCAACAUUUAGGAAAAUUAUCAGAAACCAAUCAACUGAACAGUUCUCAGAAUUGCCUUGCAUAUACGCUCUAUUGAAUUGCUUGAUCUGCCUCUGGUAUGGCAUGCCUUUUGUAACGCCUGGAGUUAUAUUGGUUGCAACUGUAAAUUCAAUCGGGGCUGCUUUCCAGUUAAUCUACGCAAUCAUCUUCAUCAUUUAUGCUGAUAAAUCCAAGAAGCUGAGGAUGUCAGCAUUACUCAUUGCAGUAUUUGCGUUCUUUGGUAUGGUAGUAUUUGUGAGCCUGAGAUUCUUGGAAACUCAUUUGUGUCAGAUGGUUGUUGGAUAUUUAAGUGUCUUUUCCCUCAUUUCAAUGUUUGCUUCACCACUUUUAUAAUUAGUUUGGUGAUCAAAACCCAGAGUGUUGAAUACAUGCCAUUCUAUCUUUCCCUUUCAACGUUCUUGAUGAGUCUCUCUAUCUCUACUUACGGAGUGCUCAAGUUUGAUCCUUUCUUUUAUGGAAGCCUGUUUCUCCAGGUGCCAAAUGGAAUUGGAACAAUUUUGGGGAUACUUCAAUUAGCACUCUACGACUGUUAUAGCAGCAAAUAUGGUGAAGGUUCAAGAGAGCCCUUGCUAGCUUCAUAUGCAUGAAAACAUCAACUAGCAUUGCGCGCUCGAAAUAAAAUAGGACUGCCGAAAGAACUGUCCGAUUUGCAGGUUAUUCAUAAUGGCAACAAUCCAAGACAGGAUUUCCUCCUGCGUCGUCAUUAAAAGUAGACUAAAAUUACUUCAUGGUGUUUGACAAUCCUUGCUAAGAUUUGAGGGCGUCCUCGAAACAUGCAUGUCAGUGAUCUGCCGAGCAGAAAUAAGAGGAAGGAAGCAAAAUGGUUUCCGAAGGCUAUACCGGAAUCACUGCAUUAGUGAGCUGCAGCAUUGUACCAGUCCUUAAUCCAUAGCCUGCCGCGUUUUUUGAUGCCUCGACCAGGGUGUUGCCACGCUGCCAGUGUCAUUGCCUGUCUUUCUCAUCAUCUUCUCCACUUCAUUGGCUACAAGGGCUUUCAUCGCCAUGCUUAUCUUAGACUUAUGGUAUUAUUAUAAUACAAUGAACAAUGCCUUUUACUUCAGCUGGUUUAAUAGAAGAUUAAUAAGAAGAAAAACAGUGUUAUAUAUUGGUCGUCAGCUUAGGAGAAAUUACUAAUUACUUGUCAGAAAAACAAGUGUUUUAACUGAUCGAGUCCUAGUUAUUUGAUCACAAUGUCCAGAAGUGUCUAACCAAAGGAAGAAUCACAUUAGACCUAUUUUCUGUAAUAACAAUCGAGGGGUUUUAGGUCAAAUUUGAACCACAGGAUUCUAGAUCAAAUUAAAACCCUGUUCGGUUAUGCGGUAGCGUUUAUAUUUUAUGUGUUUUUAAUUUGCAAGUUGUUUAGUUAACAGCUAAUCACAGUUUUAACUGCUUGGGUCCUAUACAAAUUUGCAUUUCAAACACAGGAGUAGCAAAAGCAAUUUUGCCUUGCUUUUGGGGUUGCUGUGUAGAAAACGCUGCAAAUAAUAACUUCAUUACCCAAAAAAUUGAUUAGCCCUAUCUGUCUUCCUCUACUAGUAUCUUCUCCUUCAUUGUGGCUUCAAUCAUCUCUCCUCCUUCACUGAUUCACCUCCCAAACAAAGCUGCCAUUAUCUCUCCUCCUCCACAGCUUCCCUGUCUCAACCUUAAAUAGACCUCAAACGGUUUCCUACUUGUUGCUUUUCCUCUCAACGAUCUUCCCGUGCUCUCUUUACUAUGCUUCCCUUUAUCAUGCCAAGCUCACACUAACCUCAUGCACUCACCUUGACUGGCCGAUUCCCUGCUUGCACCUUUAUUCUUCAUGCUCCCGUAUAGACCGCAUCCAAUCACCAGUGUUUGUAGCAGAGUGUAGAUCAAGCCCAUCUACCACCGAUCUACUGCUUUUAUGAACUUCUUUCACAGUUGAAGAAGACAAGCACUCAUCAUGAACCAAAAAGUGCAUCGAAAUCAGUCUUCUGGAAUGCUCAAGCACAACACUUACCAAUCUCUAUUUCGGUUGCACAAGUAACAUCAAGUUUAGUUGCUGUAUGUUUUUUGAAGUGCAUGUUUUUAAUUUUAACCGUUGAUUUAUUAUCUCUGUUUUAGUUGAACAAUUAGCGUUAAUUUCA